ensembl:snoRNA SNORA72 Small nucleolar RNA SNORA72
CUGCAAAUAUUCUCACAUUCUGAUUUUGUAAUAGUUAGGACAAGCUAAACAUUUUGCUAUAUAAAAAUCAUACACAUGUCCACAGACCUAAUAGUUCUUUCCCCAGGUUUGGUUUUAUAAAUGCUGGUGAUAACC